GCCCCCUUCACACCUCCCGCCUUCGCUUUUGCGAGUCAAAACAAGUUGCUGCGCUUGCUUGUUCUAUUAUGAUUAUUAAUUAGGAUUGGUUUGGUGUGUUGUGGUUUGUUGGUUGGCGUUUGUUUUGGUUUUGUUUUUCUUUUUCUUUUCCCUCCUCGCUCCGCACCGCCUGUGCUGCUGCUCGCUGAGGGGAAACAACCGCCCGACCGGCCAAGCACCUUGGCAGCCCCCGCUUCUGGUGCGGGGUCCCGCGGUCGUUUGCGGCCGCGGCUGGAAGCGUCAGCAAACAAACAAACAAACAAAAAAUCAAAACUAAACAAACAAACUUGUUUGUGUCAGACGGAGGAGGCUGGAGGUGCGAGCGCUGCCGUCGGUGCGGGGGUGAAACGGUGGUGGCGAACGCGGUGUUUGACUCUGCCGGCCGGUCGGGAAACGGUUUACGGUCUAACCUGUUAACACCGUCGGUUUUCUACAGCAGGCUGUGGUGCAGAGGUCCUGGAAGGAGCCGCUUCUAGGCGUGUACACUUGCCACCGCAAUAAAACAAGCCGCGUAUACAAACACCCACCCUUUCUAGAAGAUGGAAAAAUGAAGGGUUCAUGCUGUUGCCCGUCACACAUCCCGUCAGCCACGGGAGGGGACUGGACCGGAACCGCCCGGUCAGACGGCGCAGGCCCGAUCCUGGCAAUGACGGCAGAUCAUCUGCCUUCACUCUCCCAUUGACACUUUUGGAGUUGAAGCAGCUGUGCUCUACUCUCCUCAUUUCUAAAUGCCUAUGCAGUGAGCUGGAUAUAUAACAGGUUAGUGUUUCAGAUCAUCCUUAAAGGAGAAAGCAGCUGGAGCUGGAAUAUAAAGUAGUCUUCUAGGAGUACUGCCAGAACCGAUCUGUUUUACGCUGCUGCUGCUGCUGCUGUUCUGCUGUGUCAUGGGAAGAGAGUUACCCAGCCACACCAACCCUUGGAAACAGCACCCUCAGGCAGAGUCGCUUGCUGCAAACCCGAGCCGUGUUUUACAGAGCUGGAGGGUAAGUUUGUCUGGUGAAGGAUUUAGGCUGGAAGGAGAAGGCGUCGCUCCCUCACUGGGCUCCGAUGGGGAGAGCGGUGCAUGAUGUUGGGAGAUUUGCAGGAGGCAGAGUGGUGGCAGCAGCAGUGACAGCGCAUCAUCACACAGCUUUAUUUCAUUUUGUCAAGCCGAGAGGCUUUAGGUUACAGCCGAGCAGAAAAGCAAAACAAGGCGUUUCUGUAAAGAAAAAAGGUGCUUUUCCCCAAAUUUGCUUCAAAUUCUUGCAAUGAGGGCUUGCACUAAGAGCGAGCAGAGAUUCUCCCUCCUCUUAAAAAUGUCGUUAGUUGUAGAAUCUUUACAAUCUUGGCUCAUUCCACCUGAACCUGUUUCCUCCAAAAACUUACUUUCAAAAAUGUAAGGUUUAAAGAUGACUCUUUCUCCCCUCUCAAGUUUACCUUCCUUGGAAAGGCCUGGGGAAGCCUAAGGCUGUGUCUCCCUGUGAAUGAAAACGGUUUGAAUAAACAACAGCAUGCACAUACAUGUGCAUGCACAGGAUUUAAAGCAUCCCAUUGAACUGUACACAUAGGAAAAUCCUUCAUCAUGUGAUUGGUUUUGAUAUCUGCCUUAAAAUUAAUCCCUAUCUGAUGGACUCUGUCUCUGAGUUGUGGCACCAGGAGACCUGUGCAGGUUUUUAAAACUGCUAAAUAAAAUCUCCCAGUUGUGGUUGGAUUAAUUUGUAUUUUCACAGCAGCUACCUGGGAAAUGCUCAUCUUGUGAAAGAAGGUAAGAAAACUUUAUACGGCUCCAGUCCUAUUUUUUGACAAUAAAAAAAGACCCUUUUUGUGGGGUCAGGACAAAAGCCAAUGCUGUUCCACAAGGAAAUGGUUAAAGGGCUCAGCAGAGUCCCUCAGUUCUUCUGUUAGAGGUCACACUCUUGGGUUUUAUUAGAGCUUGAGCUUCGGAGAUGAUCCUGCUUACUUAUCAAUGUUGUCUUUGCUUCUUUUUUGGUUCGUUUUUGUCACUGAAACCUAACCUUGUUGUUUCACUUCUCUUUCUAAUUCGUUUCACUCUAUAGUUCCAAUGUGUUAGAAAGUGCAGUUUCAUUUAGACUCUCGGCAGAAGAGAAGAAAGCCUGAUUCCAGAAAGCAAUUUGCAGUAAUAUAUUUUCGUUGCCACUCACAUGAAAACAUUCCCACUCAAACAGAUCUA